rnacentral:lncRNA from 1 species
GUUUGGCUUGGUACCUUCGAUUCCGCUGAAGAGGCUGCUCGGGCUUAUGAUAAUGCCGCUCGAACCCUUCGGGGUGCCAAGGCCAAAACUAACUUUCCUUUACAUCCAUCCACGAUUUCCAUUCAACAACAAAUUCCUUUUUACCAAUCUCCGCCGGAUUUGCACGAUUCGAAUGGUUUUGGUGCUAAGAUUGAGUGCGUUCAGGCUAAUAGGCCUACGUCUAGCAGUUUGAGUUCUACCGUGGAAUCGUUUAGUGGGCCGCGGAUUUCUAACCCUUUGUCGUCCCUGUCUAUGGUUCGUCGGAGGCCGGUUCAGCCAGUUUCGCCAGAUGAUUGUCAUAGCGACUGUGAUUCGUCUUCCUCGGUUGUUGAUGAUGAUGAGGUCUGUGUUCUUGCUUCUUUCCGUAGAGCUUUGCCCUUUGAUCUUAACUUACCACCUCCGAUGGACGUCGUGGAUUUAACCGGUGAUGAUCUUCAAGCUACUGCUUUAUGCCUCUGAUGAGUGAUGCCAUGUUUGCUUUAUAUCAUCAUGGUUUGAAAUGGUC